rnacentral:misc_RNA from 1 species
GUUAGGCCGGCGUGACGGGCUCAACUUCGCCACCAAAAAGGUCACCCUCGCCAGCCUCCCUGCCCCCACCUCCAAAGUGAGCACCCUCCUCCGCGUCCUCAACAGGAUCGGCCUCGACACCACUGACCUCGUCGCUCUCUCUGGCGGCCACACCAUCGGUCUCGGCCACUGCACCUCCUUCACCAAUCGGCUCUACCCUACCCAAGACUCAACUAUGGACAACACUUUCGCUAAGAAUCUCAAACUUACAUGCCCUGCCGCCAAUACAGUGAACACGACGGUGCUGGAUAUUCG